GCACAACGCGAAGAACCUUACCUAGGCUUGACAUGCAUCUCUAAGCGCGUGAAAGCGCGUGACCCUUCGGGGGAUUUGCACAGGUGCUGCAUGGCCGUCGUCAGCUCGUGUCGUGAGAUGUUGGGUUAAGUCCCGCAACGAGCGCAACCCUUGUGACUAGUUGCCAGCACGUUAUGGUGGGAACUCUAGUCAGACUGCCCAGAUCAACUGGGAGGAAGGUGGGGACGACGUCAGGUCAGUAUGGCCCUUACGCCUAGGGCUGCACACGUACUACAAUGCCCAGCACAAUGAGAACCGAGACCGCGAGGUGGAGGAAAUCUAAAAAACUGGGCCCAGUUCGGAUUGGAGGCUGCAACUCGCCUCCAUGAAGUUGGAAUCGCUAGUAAUGGCGCAUCAUCUACGGCGCCGUGAAUACGUUCCCGGGUCUUGUACACACCG
rnacentral:rRNA from 1 species